ACAUUACUGAAAGGCCCCGCCUCCAGUCCAGACGCGGCCGCUAUGGUAACGCGUCGGGAUUUCUGAGGUUUUGUCAACAGUGAGAGUGACUGCCAUGGCUGCUGUGUUCUGAAGAAGAGUUUCUUUUCAUUUACAAUUGUUCCAAAUUGCAAGAACCAUGAUGUUGCCAAUGCAGUUGCUGGAAGAGUAUACAAACAAGCUGAGUCUGAACAUGGCUGCACAACUAGUCUUCUUGGCAGAUGGCACGAAAGUCCUCAAACCCGAAAAUAUACCCCACGAAGCCAACAUUUAUGUUGCAACAGGACAGCCCAUUUUAGAUCCAUUCAAAAAAAAAAUUAAAGCCAAGUCCAGAACAACAACAGCAACGUCUCGGCUUUGUCUGCACAUCUUUGGCUGUGUUUCACUGUGACAUGUACUGCUGUUCCUUUAGCACCAAAAUGUUGGCACACACUCCUGAAAAUUUCACACCAUCUCUUGCUGGAUCAGCAAGCUUAACCCACCAAAAUCUGGUGUUGUGCAAUGGUUUUUGACUGAUAAUCAAUCUUUACGCUGCUCGACAGUUGUUACUGGGACAUGGAGCAGAGCAGGUGGCAGAUGUGUCUUGUCUUUUGAGAGAAGAAAUUGUAGGAAAGAAAAUUACACCAUGAACCUGGGAAAGCACUUAAUCUCUUUAAGCCCGAGCUUCCUCAUCCACAAAUUGAGCAAUAAUGAAACAGGCCUCAGGCCUUGGAGGAUUUGGUUGCAUGCACAAUGAAAAUUAAUCUAGAUUCACCAGACAUGGAUGGUAGUAAAAAUGGCGACACCUCAAAAGUAGUUUCUCUGCUUGAAAAAUGCCUGCAAAAUUCCAUCAGUCCUUUGAGGGGACCACUUUGGGUCUCUAAGGGAGAAGGUUUCAGACCCUUGGGGGCUAAGAUGCACGGGCAAGGAGUUCUUGGGGCCUUGUAUCAACGGUUAAAGUCUGCAAAAAUAUUAUUACAAGCAGUGCUUCUGAGAUGGAUAAUGGAAGAGGGGAGAGAGGAAGAGAGGAAGAGAGGAAGAGAGGAAGAGAGGAAGAGAGGAAGAGAGGUCGAGUCUUCUUCCUGGGAUUCCGUGGCAUCAGAAGGGUCUCUGUUCAUUGAGUGCAGUUGAACUUGAUCAUGAAUGAAAAAGAAGCAAAGUCCCAGAGAAGGCCAUUCUUUCUGUGACACAAGAGGGAUACCACAUGUUACAAGAAAAUGUGAGCAUGCUGAUGGAUGAAUUGCAGACAGCUAUCAAAAGCAACAGAGGUCAUCUCGCUAAGCUUGGCCCCCAAUUACAAACUGAGCAGGAGCAGUUCUCCUUAUGUAUGUCUGCCAACACAUUAAAAGCCUUCCAGCAAACAGUGUGGUCCCAGGAGGCCUGCAACUCAAGCUCCGUCUCAGAAUCCACCAGGAGCAGCUUCAAGGUUCCUCCAUCAGGUCACAAGGCCUCCAUUUUUCUUCAGCCCGGAUUUUCGAUCAAGAGAUUAAGAGUCUACCGCAGCUGAAGAAUGGUCAAAAAAGGGGGGCUUUCUUAUGGGAAAGCAUACAGAUGGAUCCCAAUAUUGUUCAUUAUGCCCCUGUUUCCAUCAGAAAGUACCAUUCCUCAAGGAGUGAAGUCAACAGCAAGAAUCAGAGAGUGUUCUGGCCUUCAGUCAUCAUGUGGCUGAUCACCAAGACAUGAAGGAGGAGAUGAGUCCCAGAAGCAGAUCUUUGGAACAGAUGGCAAUAUUUAUUCUAAGGCUUAUCCUCAGUUUGCCCUGACUUACCUGGAGAACUUAACUGCUCAGUGGAUGUGAGCCAGACAGAGGACAAUAUUGCCCAUGGUGCCUGGACCACUGCUCAUCAAGAACAUUGUGUAGAAGAGGCCAGUGUGAUAGCCAGAGGGUUUCCAGAAACACAUCAACAGCCCUUUACUGAAGCAGCUGCCAGAGCCCUCAGGCACUUAGGUGGUGCCAGAAGGCUCUCUUGAGGAGACAGAGAGGCUGCCAGUGCUGCUGCUGAGGAAGCUGGAAGGGAAAGAUCCCAGGGCUCCUGCUCAGAGGAAUGUGACUGGCCAGUAGAAGGUCUAUUGGACACAAACAGCUCUCCCAUGAAGAGGAUGGCAAGUAAGAGACCAGAUCUGCUUGUCCCUAUGCGACUCCGAGUUCUAAGGAAUGGAGAGAAGAAAAACAUCAGACCCCUGGUGAUUGGCCCGGACAUCUCACCUGGAUGGAAAUCACAAAAUGUUAAUGCUGAAAGGAAAGAGAAAAGCCAUGCCAUGAACCAUUCUGAAACAGAAAGAAACCAGAUCGAAUUUCACCACCUUUUGGAGAGGUGCACCGACAUUUUGAACUUACCUUCUGCUGCUCGGAGACUUUUCAGUGAAAAGGGGAAGGAACUUUUUUCCCUGAAAGACCUACAGCGAGAUGAACUGGUAUAUGUUUCAUGUGGAGAACACUGGAUCAAUCCCGACCUCUCCAUUGCUCAACAAAGGAAGCAAGUCUUCCUAAGGAGCCUCGAGUUUGACAUUUCUAAGAUUAAAACUUUUUGCAGCAUGCGCAAGGUGGAAGCUCUUGUUUUGGAAGUCCAAAGUGACCUUGUAUGCGGGGGCAAGCUUGCUGUGAAUAAACCUGUAGAGAGUUAUGAAGAGGAGAAGCAAGUGAAAGGUCCAGAAGGGAGGCAGAUAAAAAAUGUUGCUUUAAUAACAGGAGAUGCUCCCAGAGAGACUCUAGAUUCUCAUGCAAGAGCCCACCUCCGCAUGGAAGCCUGUCGCAGGACGCUCAAGUAUGCUUGGCAGGACCCUUCGUACAACCUUGCUGCUGAUGGCAGUCUUCCAAAGAAAGCAGAGAAAGAGCUCUUUGAAAAUGUGCAGCCCCCAAAGAAACACAGCCAUGUCCCAAAGCAUAGGAGAUCAUGGAAGCUGUGUCACCAGGAGUUUGAAUACAGAGAUGGGCAAAUCAUCAGCCUCGCUGCUCCUCAGCUGGUCCUGGGGGUACAAGUCUCCAAACCCUGUUCAGGCACAGAGGUCAUUUUGGUGGAAAAGAGAUCUGAUGAAAGUCGCCAACAUUGGACACACAAGGCAGACAGCAGGACCUUUCACCUGGUGAGUAACCCAGACCUUGUACUGGCAGUGUCUAUGACCAAAGUUAAAAAUGAAGCCCGUGGCUAUCCAGUUAUCAUUCAGAAGUAUAAACCACACAGCAAUGGGGCUGCCAAUCAAAAGUGGGAUUAUGUGGCAAAUAAGAGAGCAUUGAUAGCCUUUCACAGCACUGCCCUGGAUAAGGAAAUCACAGCAGCUAAUUUUUCUGACCUUUGCACAUCAUCUGUCACUAAAGAAAACAUUGAUCAACCUGGAUACUGUUGCCUCUCACCUGAUGGAAAGAGAGAUCUCAAGCUCUGCCUGGCUUGCGGGAGGUCCAUGAGGGCAAAAAAGGGGCUGAAAGAGCUGCUUCCAAGGGCUCCAUUCUCCUGUGUUUCGGGCUCGGAGGAGAAGCUCUGGCCACCAGGGCCUUUCAAAGUCAUCAGUGUUGCCAAGGCUGAUUUAUCUUCUUCCGAAGCUGAAGACACUCUAAGAUAUUAUGAAAAGCGUCUGUCAUCUUUACGGAUGAAGACAUACGCAUGCACUCCAUCUCACGGUGGCGCGGUAGCUUCGUACCAGAAGGUGGUGAAAGUAACCGCAUACAAAAAUGGGGAUGGAUAUCGGAAUGGGAAGUUAAUUGUGGCUGGAACAUUCCAUGGGCUUCUUGCAGAAUGCACAGAACGACUUCAACUCACCAGAGCAGCUUCCAAAAUCUACACCAGAGAUGGAACUACCAUCCUCACCUUGGAUGGCUUGGUUCUGUGGGCUAUAGGUGAAAAACUUAUCCAGACAGACCCUAAGGGGCAAAAGAAAAGCACAGAGUCUGUUGGGACAGAAGACAUAGCUGUUCAAACUACAGAAGAAAGCUCAAGAAUGAAAGUGGAGAGCAGACUGGAUUGUGUGGAGGGCAUAGAUAAGUCCCUGAUUGCUCAUGUCCUCAGAAGCCCUGUUGCUGUUUGGGUGUCUUGUGGUGAGCCAUUUCUGCCUCUAAAUGCUCCAUGGAAAUCAGAAAAAUUAAAGAAACAAAGCUGGCUGAAGAGGGACAAAAUUUUGGCUGAUUUGGAUACCAUGAAACACAAGAUGCGACAGUUGAAAGGGCGGCGAGUAACAGCAUGUCAGCCAGCCACGAUGGUUCCAACCCAAAGCCCUCUGCAGCCAGUGGUGGUUGAAGGAGGCUGGACUGAGCAGACUCAAGAGGAAAUGAAGCUCAUGGAACUGAUAAGACAGACAGAGGCACGCCUUUCUGAAGGCCAAGAACGGCAGUCCAGACGCUCUCUGAUCGGAGCUCUAUGUAAAGCGGAGAGGCAGCACAGCCUGUACGUGGCUCCCCGAGUGAAACGUGUGUGGGCUUACCAGAAUGGAGGCAGACAUGCCGACGGCACUUAUGUCCAGGCUGGUGCUCUGUCAGAGUUGCUGGAUGGUUGCACUGUGCGUCUGAAAAUGUCCCACCCAGCCAAAACACUUUAUACCUCAAAUGGGGAGCUCAUUCAGUCAUGGGAUGACAUAGAGAGGGGUAUGGCUGUCUGCGUGUCUGCAGGACAUGGCUUUAUAACCUCAAAAGAAAAAAAGCAAAUGAUGGAAGUGAAAGCAAAUUAUGUCCGGAUCCUAAGGCAGCAGGGUCCAGAGGCCACAGACAUUGUGGUGUCACCAUCCAGGAAGCUACUGUCUCUCCUGCAGCUUCCCAGAUGACUUCAAACAGAACCUCAGAUCUUAUGCUGGAUUUUACUCCUAGAAUUGCAUGUGCAUUCUCAUAGGCUCCUAUCAUAUCCUAUGCCAUGAUAAUUCUCUACCCUCUUAACUUGUACACAGUCUCUCUUAUACUCUGCAUUGGGGUUUGAACCUAGUAGUUGACCAUAUAGUGAGCACUGUGCCUGUGAGCUGUGCCUCUAGCUCCCUCAAACACUUUUAAAGAUUAUUAGCUUCCACAUUUUAUGUGAAGUAACAUUAAAUUCCUCAUGCCUGUUCCUGGAAAGGCAACAAAACCAGACAACUAACGCAAGUAAGAUAUCCAUCUUAGGUGAACUUUCCUCGUGAAAAUAAAAACACAAACUGCUAGUUAUUGAAAAGUAACUUAAAAGGAUCAAGGAACAUACAUAUAUGGACGUGUGUGUGUUUGUGUAUGUGUGUGUGUGUGUGUGUGUGUGUGUGUGUGUGUGUGUGUGUAGAUAGGGCAUUGAUAAUAAAAUGAUUCUUUGGCUACCUAACCCUAACUUUGACGCCAUGUGGCAUUUUUCUGGAUCCAUCACUCUGAUUUUUGAUCUUUUGAUCUUUUGAUUCCUCACAUACCCACUAAAACUGGAAUGGCUUACGGCUACUUAGUGCCACAGAAAUCUGUCUCUCUCUCUCUCUCCCUUUUCUCUUUAAUUUUUGCAGGCCUCUCUUGAGGCACAGUUGGAUGUGAUGAGAAUGAAGGUGGUUAGUUAUAGUAAAUGAUUGGCAAUAAGAUGGCAUAGACUACAUACUCAAUAUGAAAACCAAGGAAAGAUAUAAAUGCAGUGGUUCAAAGAAAAUCCCCGUAAGGAAGGGAGGUGUGAGGUCAUGAUGCCACUUCUCCAGGACAAGAGGAAUUAACCUGUUAAUUUGUUCCUAGGAAGAAGAAAGCACAUUUAGGAAACAGAUGGCAAUCUGAGUGCCAGGCCUGAGGUUGGUUCUGUUGCUCAUGGGAUGCUGCAAGGAACCUCCCUCUUCCUCUAUACCACUCAAUGGUUCCUCCUGGAUGUAAAUCACAACCUGGCUAGGUGCAUACAAAACAGCAUAACCCGGCUCCCACCCCAGCCCUCCACUUUAAUCGAUGUAGGAAGACAAUAUAUCAUUUCUACUGAAGGGAGCUCUUGGUAACCUCUGCAAAAGGUCUGGUAUUUAUUCCCACUCUGCAAAUCAGCAGGGCUGCUUGAAUAAAUCCUUGCUGCCUAGGACAUCAUGGUGGUGAACACCCUGGUGGUGUUAGAUGAGCAACUGUUGGCCCUUUUGCAGACGUUUGAUAGUGUGAAGUUACAGAAGCGAAUGUGGUCCAAGGUGCAGCAGAAGAGGCCAUACUCCAAGACUCAUUUGCUGUCUUUCUUCCUUUUUUGUUUGUUAACAAACCAGAAAUAAACAGGAAAUGUUAAGGAGCUUGCCCAGCUCUGGAAAGUGAACCGUCAGGACUCCCAGCAACUGCUUCUUGCCUUGCAAUGAAGAGAUUUGAUCACAGUCCCCAUAAAGAAAAGAAACAUUUUUUGCUGUUGUUGUUUGCAAAUUCCCUGAAAAUAAAUACAUUUCUGUAGGUGCAGAAGCACCAAUCAUUUUCUGCAAGGAAAAGUUUCUCUGCUAUGAAAAUGGCAUCUUUCACCCUAGAUCAAAUGUGCAGAUUCCUUGCGAAGUCCCCCCUGCUGCAUGGGAACAUUCCUGAAGCGAAAAUUGAUAAUAUCACACGAUGCCAUAUCAAGCACCAGGAGACAUCAGGCAGGUGCCUUACGUGAACUCCACUAUUGCCAGUAAAUGGGGUUUUAGAUGUAAUCUUACAGUCAUCAACACAUCACAUCUGGCCAGCGAGGCAGUCACAGGUACUCUGUAGAUGACAGCUCACAUAAAAUAUCUGAGGCACCCAUAGUCACCUCUAACUUAGACUAAAACAGUCCUAAGUUUUUUUCUUAUGAUCGACUCUCUUCACUGGCUAGGGUUUGACCCAGAAAGUAGGGGGAGGAGUGCUUCCUUCACUGCUGUGAGGAGUAUAGAAAAGGCUAUCUGGCUUCAGUGAGUUUGUCCUAAGCUUUUAAUAAAUGUAAACAUUUCCUCUAAUGACAUGUUUAUCAAAGUUGAAUCAUUUUCAUA